rnacentral:lncRNA from 1 species
CUGUCUGUCUGUCUGUCUGUCUGUCUGUCUGUCUGUCUGUCUGCCUGCCUGCCUGCCUUUUUAGAUAUCCUUUUAAUAGAGGACUACAAGUACAAUGUAAUAACGAAGUGUUAUAUUUUUGCUGUAGUUUUGGCGAUCCUUAUCACGAUGAAAUGUCCAUCCUGGCUCCUAUUUAUCAAUGCUGCAAAAUUCGGCGGUCAACUUGGAAUCGCUUUCAGUCUAUAGCUACAAAGAAUACGCCCUUAAGUGAACUUCUACGGAAAGCAACGGAAGAAGAUCCUGUGGCGCCGGUCUUAUCAGAUCCUCACUUUAGAGCCAUCGACAGAAGAAUGAAAAUCGCCAUUGACACGAUAAAGAACUGUAUCAAAAGCCAUGGAGAGGCUGGAGUGUUGGUCUCUGAAGAAGAUGUUUAGAGUUUAACGGGCUUCUCGUACUUAUCUAUUUAUUUGCAAGUUUCGAUACAAAUUUUGAAAUAUAAGUUAUAUAGUUAGGUCAUGCUCUUAACCAGUGUUGUACUGAAACAGGGUAUGGAAAUUUACACAUACGUUGAAAUGAAACCGCGCGAGAUAUUGGUUGCUAAAUUUAUUUUCAUUCUGAAAAAUAAUAUACUCUGCCCUGAACUAACUCGGAUUGUACCUCACAUGGCUAAAAGCAAAUUAACGUUGAAUGAAAUCCUAGUUUUAUAAUCCCUUAUUGUCUGCCUUUGUAGCUAUUCCGUAGGGAGUUAUUGUAGAUUUCUUUAAAGAUGUAAAGAUAUUUUUGAGUUCGGAGAUGGUUUGUCAUAGCCAGGCCGUUAGAAUGAACUGGCUGUGCUUGUUUUAGUAUUACAAAAAGAGUAACUUUUUGAAAGGGUGGGAAAUACAAAAUACUAGCUAGACAGUGUUUUAAAAGGGAACUUCACUAAAAAACUAGAAUACAACUUUAAUGGGAGCUUAAAAAUAUAUCUUUUUCUGAGAACAUAUUGAUUAGUAAUAUCAAAAUUAUAUUUCAGAAAAUAAAGCUUAAAAAUAAAAGGAUGAUUUAUUACACUCUAUGUCCGAUUGUUUUCUAUCCCGUUAGGUCUGGUUCAUACCAGCGACAUAAUGACAUAACGACAUAAUCGCUUAUGUCGGUAAUGUGAAUGAACAUCGACAUAAAGACAUAACGCCGGCAAAUAUCAGGGUUUUUUUCCCUGAUGUCGUCAUGUUCAUGCUGUUAUGUUGCCAUUAUGUCAAGAUGUUCACACUGCAAACAUGACAUGACUUCGCUGGUGUGAACUGGGCCUUAGUUGAGGGUUGUCCAGUGUCGGCAAACUGAUACAGCUGGAGAAAAAAAACAACUUUAUCAUCUGUACAGUUUGACAGACUGUUAACUGUUUCCGGUCAAUGUACAGACCGAAAAAUGCAUCUCAUUGAUUGCAAGUGAUAUUCUUGAGUCUUAACCUCGGUGAAACGGUUAGACGAUCCGUGCGAUUUGUGCGGAUCGUACAGACGGACAGAGAUCGUCUGCGUUGCAUCGUGGUAACUAACUGUGAUUGCGCACGCCUCAUUACGCAAACUGUUAAACAUCAGGAAAAAUGUUUUCACGGGAGAAAUAUAUGAUUUUGUCCCACUAUUCUCGCAAUACUGGCCCAAGAGAGACGUGCAUUUAAAGAAACACGGAAUCUCUCCAACAGUUACUUUUAGUCAUUUUUCCUGUGUUUACCUUACACCAAAUGAGGAAAUAGCACAACGGUUAGCCUAAAUCAGUAGUGCUCGGCUCAGAUUAGGCUAAGUAUCACUGAUUCUACAGUCAGGUUAGCUCUCAAUACUAGUGUACGCGGGUUAACCCUUACAGACACCAGUAAAAAAAA